GCCCGCCUAGCUCAAUCGGAUAGAGCGUCAGACUUUUAAGAACAAGGGCUAUAUAUGGCAUCUGAAGGCUGCGAGUUCGACCCUCGCGGUGGGCU
rnacentral:tRNA from 1 species